AAUUAUUAAAAGCUUAUAUUCACACAGUUUGAGUUCUUACCCUAAACCCGUUUGGGUCUUCUCUAACUUCACAAAUUAUCAGCCAAACUCAACUUCUCUUCGACGGCAUUCCGUGACCUGAGAGAAAAUUGAAGUCCUAUGAUUGUUCAUAAAGGGGAAGGCUCGAGGGAGAGUUAUCUACUUACGGAGUGCUUUCCAACGAAUUUACUUGAAGGAGUCGAAUGAAGGGACGAAACAGAGGGUGUUGAUUUAGCACACUGUGGGAAGAAAACAAACUUUGGUUUCUCAAAAUGUAAAUCUGGUAGAUGUCGAGCUGUCGAAGCUACACGCGAGUUCCAACUUUCUGGCAUAGGAUAGCAGAUUUGUGUUUGGUGUUGGCGUCGUAUUACGAAAAUGGUUAAGAAUGAUGAAAUUGAAUGCAUCUUCUUACAACAAGGAUAGGAUUCUUGGAAUGAUGGCAUAAUAUGAAAACUGAUUUUAAAGAUUAGAAUAUGGAGAAAAAGCUAGACUCACGAGGGAAGAGCAAACCUUGAAAGGAAGAAAACAACUUGGCAGUGUGCGAGUAGUUAUCCAGACGACUCUUGUAUUAGUUGUGAGUGAGUUAUCCACAUGACUCUUGUCUUGUAUUAGUUGUGAGCGAGUUAUCCACGUGACUCUUGUAUAUGUUGUAGGUUGCAACUGAAUAUUAGUUGUGAUUUUGUUGCCAUCUCAUCAGAGUAAAUGUAAUUGACUGAGAAUUUUAAUGAUUUUAUUUGAAAACA